AAAUUGAAGAGUUUGAUCAUGGCUCAGAUUGAACGCUGGCGGCAGGCCUAACACAUGCAAGUCGAACGGUAACAGGAAGCAGCUUGCUGCUUUGCUGACGAGUGGCGGACGGGUGAGUAAUGUCUGGGAAACUGCCCGAUGGAGGGGGAUAACUACUGGAAACGGUAGCUAAUACCGCAUAACGUCGCAAGACCAAAGAGGGGGGACCUUAGGGCCUCUUGCCAUCGGAUGUGCCCAGAUGGGAUUAGCUAGUAGGUGGGGUAACGGCUCACCUAGGCGACGAUCCCCUAGCUGGUCUGAGAGGAUGACCAGCCACACUGGAACUGAGACACGGUCCAGACUCCUACGGGAGGCAGCAGUGGGGAAUAUUGCACAAUGGGCGCAAGCCUGAUGCACCCAUGCCCCGUGUAUGAAGAAGGCCUUCCGGGUUGUAAAGUACUUUUCAACGGGGGAGGAAGGGGAGUAAAGUUAAUACCUUUGCUCAUUGACGUUACCCGCAGAAGAAGCACCGGCUAACUCCGUGCCAGCAGCCGCGGUAAUACGGAGGGUGCAAGCGUUAAUCGGAAUUACUGGGCGUAAAGCGCACGCAGGCGGUUUGUUAAGUCAGAUGUGAAAUCCCCGGGCUCAACCUGGGAACUGCAUCUGAUACUGGCAAGCUUGAGUCUCGUAGAGGGGGGUAGAAUUCCAGGUGUAGCGGUGAAAUGCGUAGAGAUCUGGAGGAAUACCGGUGGCGAAGGCGGCCCCCUGGACGAAGACUGACGCUCAGGUGCGAAAGCGUGGGGAGCAAACAGGAUUAGAUACCCUGGUAGUCCACGCCGUAAACGAUGUCGACUUGGAGGUUGUGCCCUUGAGGCGUGGCUUCCGGAGCUAACGCGUUAAGUCGACCGCCUGGGGAGUACGGCCGCAAGGUUAAAACUCAAAUGAAUUGACGGGGGCCCGCACAAGCGGUGGAGCAUGUGGUUUAAUUCGAUGCAACGCGAAGAACCUUACCUGGUCUUGACAUCCACGGAAGUUUUCAGAGAUGAGAAUGUGCCUUCGGGAACCGUGAGACAGGUGCUGCAUGGCUGUCGUCAGCUCGUGUUGUGAAAUGUUGGGUUAAGUCCCGCAACGAGCGCAACCCUUAUCCUUUGUUGCCAGCGGUCCGGCCGGGAACUCAAAGGAGACUGCCAGUGAUAAACUGGAGGAAGGUGGGGAUGACGUCAAGUCAUCAUGGCCCUUACGACCAGGGCUACACACGUGCUACAAUGGCGCAUACAAGAGAAGCGACCUCGCCGAGAGCAAGCGGACCUCAUAAAGUGCGUCGUAGUCCGGGAUUUGGAGUCUGCAACUCGACUCCAUUGAAGUCGGAAUCCCUAGGUAAUCGUGGAUCAGAAUGCCACCGGGUGAAAUACGUUCCCGGCCUUGUACCCACCGCCCGUCACACCAUGGGAGUGGGUUGCAAAAGAAGUAGGUAGCUUAACCUUCGGGAGGGCGCUUACCACUUUGUGAUUCAUGACUGGGGUGAAGUCGUAACAAGGUAACCGUAGGGGAACCUGCGGUUGGAUCACCUCCUUA
rnacentral:rRNA from 1 species